UACCAGCUCUCCGAGUGGUGUGGAUGUUUAUUGGGCCUAAAGCAUCCGUAGCUGGCUGGGCAAGUCCCCUGUUAAAUCCACCGAUUUAAUCGUUGGUGUGCGGGGGAUACUGUUCGGCUAGGGGACGGGAGAGGCCGACGGUAUUUUCGGGGUAGGGGUGAAAUCCUAUAAUCCCGGGAAGACCACCAGUGGCGAAGGCUGUCGGCUAGAACGCGCCCGACGGUGAGGGAUGAAAGCUGGGGGAGCGAACCGGAUUAGAUACCCGGGUAGUCCCAGCUGUAAACGAUGCAGGCUAGGUGUUUGGGCGGCCACGUGCCGCUCUAGUGCCGCAGAGAAGUCGUUAAGCCCGCCGCCUGGGGAGUACGGCCGCAAGGCUGAAACUUAAAGGAAUUGGCGGGGAGCACCACAAGGGGUGAAGCUUGCGGUUU
rnacentral:rRNA from 1 species